AGCACUUUAGCGCAGAGGAAGCGCGUUGGGCUCAUACAGGUCCGUUUUUCAUGGUUUGGUGACACCCAAAGGCCCCAGGAUCGAAACCUGGAAGUGCUA